rnacentral:lncRNA from 1 species
AACCUAUAUACAAAAGGAUCCAAAAUCUACACGAGAAAGUCUGAGAUCAACGAAAUACCCAAAAGAAAAGGAGAGAGGAUCCACAAUAUACAAGAGAGAUUGUGAAAGAGAAAAGUAAGAGCAUUCAAAGAGAGGAUCUUUCAAGCCUAUUGUUCAACCUUGAUCAAGAGAUCUUUCAAAGCCUUCAAGAAGUCUUCAAUCAAAGAUCAUCCUCUUCUCAAGCAUUCAUUCAAGCGUUCAUACACCUUGAGAAAAUCCUAAAAGGGUUUCUUCAUUUGAGUAAAGUAUUUUUAUUGUUAUAUUCACUCAUUUAAGGAGCUGUUAUUGUAUUAAUUUGUGCUCUAAAUUUUCUUACUCUUUGUGAGUAAUUGUUCUUAUUUUUGGAGGAUUUCCAAAACAAGGAAAGAUUGAUCCGAACCUG